GGUCAUUGAAGAUGCAUCAUAUAUUAUACUCAUAACCAUGUUACAGGUCAGUUUUUUCUAACUCAAGUGGGUGAGUUUUCUAUGGGAAUCUCAUAAUAGUUGAAAAACACAAUAUCUCGGAUACACCACAGUACACUUUAAUAAAAUAAUUAAAUAAACCAAGUGUCUAAAAAUAAUGAUAAAACAUAAACUUUUGGGGGAUCCUUUGUGGACUUUAUUAAUCAUAUGUGAGGUCCACCAUGAAACUAUUUAGACCUAUCAUGUUACCAUUGGCCUGCUAACCUAUUCACAAGUUCGUGUAUCAUUUCCCACUUAAAUAUAUUGAAAUAAUAAUGUAGUUUUUUAAAUUCACAAGUUCCUGUAUCAUUCCUGACUUUAAUACAUAAAAAUAACAAUAUAGGAUUAAAAUAAUGUGAUUCAGGAGAUUGUAANCCUAGUAUGUAGGAUGUUCCUAUGCUGAAGUGAUCUGUUAAAUUGGUAUCCUGGUAUGUAAGAUGCUGCUAUGCUAUAGUGAUCUGUUAGAUCUGUAUCCUGAUAUAUAUGAUGUUGUUAUGCUGAAGUGAUCUGCUCGUUUGCUAUGCUAAAAGACUAUUAUUUAAAUAGGAAAAAAUUGUGAGCUAGGGGUUGGGGGUGUAUUUAUUUAAGUAAAUAAAAAAAUCAAGGGCAAAAUAGUCUUUUUAGGUAAGACAUGGAUCAAACAUGUAAAAAAACAAACAGUAGGGACCUUUCGAGCUACAAAACAAGUUAGGGACCAAACACGCAAAUUACCCUAAACCAUAGGGACCAUUGGUGUAAUUUACUCUAAAAUUAAUUUUCGGUGAUUUUCGAUUCGAUCUUCAACGAUAGAUGAUUUUAGUAGCUUGAGACAUUCUAAAAGUAAUUAUGAAUAUGAUAUCUUUAAUAUACAUUAUAAACAUAAGAUUACACAUAAUUGGUCCUUAAUACAUAGCGGUUCGUGGUGGUUUGACCAUCGAACACUGACUAAUUUUUACCAAUUGUUACAACAGCUGUCACACAGUGGCAACCCUUGCCCACGUCGUGGCGGUCCAAUAAAAUAUAUGUGCUUUUAUUUAAUCCCACGCUGUGGGCAUCCCUGCACCAUGUCGUGCCACAGGUUUUCCCCCAAAACUCCAUCUUUACCUCCUAAAAAUAUAAAGCUAAACUAGUCUUGAACACGGGUGUUAUAAAGGUCAUGAUUUCUGAUCAAUAUACUUACACAACACUCAUAGAUGGGCUAUCCAAAGCAAAGAGAUUGGAAGAUUCAAAUAUGGUUUUAGAAGAUAUGUAUAUUACUUUUUUUGUGGCAGAUUUUUGUGAUGAUUAGGAAAUUUGUGAGGUAGUGCUGGUUGUGAUCGUGGCAAAAAGAGCAAUACGGUGGUGGUGUAUGGCUACAUGAUGGGGAUUUGGAGACCCUAAAAGCGUUUCAGGUAGCUUCUAUUUAAAUAAUCAAUGAACCAGAUAACUGUCUUAUUUGAAAUAAUAUUAUUUUAUGUUCAAAUCAUGGUUUCUACAUGUCUCCUACUCAACUAUAAAUAGAACCUUAUACUUUGGAAUUUUCAAGUACUCUUUUUUUAGAUACUAGAUCCAAAAAUUGAUCCUCUCUCGCCUCUCUCCUAAUCUUUCUAUGGUUCUUGUGUUGUGGGUGUGAACCAUUAGAGGCUCGCACACAAAUAGAGCUUGUUUUCAAAGAUAAUUCUAGAUUGCUUUGUUGGAAUCAAAGAUUUGUUUACAAUAACAAAUAAAAGGUAUGCAAUUUUGUGAAUUUUGCUUUCCAUUAGGGUUUAGAAGAUUUGAUGUUCAAUAAUAUGUUGCUUAAAUAGUGUUAUGACAUAGAUCAAAGUAGGUUGCACGUACCCUUAAGAAUAUAAUGAUUUUUCCGUAUUAUUACAUGUAAAACCUAUCAAUAUCUUAUAUAAGUUAACAAUGACAAAAAUAUGAUUAAAGUCACCAGAUACAUCCCUCGUUUGACAUGGUCCUCAAACAUAAGAUUUCAUGAAUAUAGCAUAUAAUAUCCUAAAAGGAAACCUAUUAUAACUUUUCAGAUGGUAAAAGUAAUAUGAUUAUUUGUUACAUGUUUUUUAUUCAUUUGGUGAUGAUAUUACUAGCUUAUUAAAAAAAUCUAUUAUCACAAUGUUUUUUCAAUCUUAUUCAUACAACAAGGAACAAUGCCCAAAUUAUUCAUAAAUAAAUUUCAUUAAAGUAUAUUUCUGGUAUACCCGAAAAUACCCAACCCGAAUCAUCAACCCGGAUACCCGAACUAUAAGACCCGAAUUGUAAAUAGUUUAGGUUUCGGUUCAUAUUAUUUUAUGAAAAAACUUGAAUUACCCGAAGCUCGAAAAUUACCCAAUCAACAGACCUAAUUAGCAGUAGUGAUUAGUAGUAGAUAAUAAGCAA
rnacentral:lncRNA from 1 species